AUUCUGCCCAUGCGGGGAAGGAUGAGAAGCUUCGACUAAGGUUCGGCUCGAGCGUCAGCGAGAGAGCGUUGCCGCAGGCAACGACCCGAAGGGCGAAGCGCGCAGCGCUGAGUAAUCCUUCCCC
rnacentral:sRNA from 1 species